UACGGGGGGGGGCAAGCGUUGUUCGGAAUCACUGGGCGUAAAGGGUGCGUAGGCGGGUUUUUAAGUCAGAGGUGAAAUCCUGGAGCUCAACUCCAGAACUGCCUUUGAUACUGAAAGUCUUGAGUAUGGGAGAGGUGAGUGGAACUGCGAGUGUAGAGGUGAAAUUCGUAGAUAUUCGCAAGAACACCAGUGGCGAAGGCGGCUCACUGGCCCAUUACUGACGCUGAGGCACGAAAGCGUGGGGAGCAAACAGG
rnacentral:rRNA from 1 species